rnacentral:lncRNA from 1 species
UGCAUGCCAGAUCGAUAUUGGCGCCGAACAUGUGCAACGAUGAAGUGUCUGCGCAAACCGGUCAGCAGGCAGCUGUAAAACGACCAAUUGCCCCCGCCCAGGAAGACGAACUAAUGCAUGCAAAGUUAGGCAGGUUACCGAUAUCUCGUGGAUGAUUUGUCUCCGUUUUUUCGUUUGACUAGUCCAUGGUUUGUUGUGGAAGGCAAUGUCGUUCAUGGCACGGAAGCCGGUUCCAAACAGCACUGCACGAUAAGAGUGUUGCCAGCGGACUACGCAAACAUAGCACGUAGUUGUCGUACAAUACGUCAUCGGUAAAGUUUAAUCCAGGACCAUUUGUUAUGAGGGGGCUAAUGAAAGGGUUGGGAGUCACUACUGUCACCAGAACACACACACACACACACCAUCACGUUUAUACAAACAUGUUAUCCACAUUCCAAGACCAUAUCAAAGCGCGUCUUGAGAGGCCUUUUCGGCGCCAGCAGCUACUUCACAUGCACUUCCAAACUGCCUGGCAUGGCGGAUGACGGAGCAAAUCGUGUCCACUGCAACGAACUAGCCAACUGUCGCUUGAGUGCUUGUAUGUUGGAUGCAUGCACGUAUGGCCCACAUUGGAACUACGGACACUUCAUUAACAGCUUCCUCUAUCGCCAGUCGCUUGGAGCACAUCCCAUGAGCCUCUGGGACAGCCCACUUAACAAGUCGUACACGUGCAACACAUCCCAUAUGUGGCGAAAGUAGGAAGGUCGAAACAAACCGGGCCCCUUGUCCGUCUUACUUACCAGACAGUGCCCCACAGCGUUCCAUCGAAGAUUUCAACACGGCCCUCGCUGGGACUGCUUCCGCCCACGAGUCUGAGACUGUAGAGAGAUGUCGGCGGCUCAGGAGGCGGUGGUGAUGGUAGUGGCGGCUGUGACGGCGGAUCUGGCGACCUCGUUCCUGCACAACCACAUAUUGAUCAGUCCGUGCAUGCUACCUUCACCUAAUACUCUAGUAUGUUAUGGAAAGCUUGCUUCAUCGCAACAAGGGGAACGCUCAUUACUACCUCUUGGAUUGUAAAUUAGGUGAAGACAUAUGUACACACAUAUAUACAUGCAUUGAUACAUAAACGUAUCGAAGUACAUGCACAUCAUAGUACGUCCAUACAUGGAUCCACAUUCAUGUAUGACAUUUGUCACCAUAUCAGUGUUCAAAUAAAUGCUGCUGUCCGUACAUCGUAUUGCAGGAACAGCGGUCAGAAGCCAGCAGCAGCCCUCCUAAGGGUGAUGAACCCAACACGCACGCAACCCACAUACCAUAGCAUCGAACACCAACGUCCUGCAUGCAUGGCAGGGUUCAUAAUGGAGCAAGUAUAUCGGCAGUCACCGGCGUGUACUGCAUAUUCCUGCUGAUGACGUGCUACAGUGAUGCGGACAGUGUGCGACUUCAUUAGGUAGCUUGCUGCUAGGAGAACGAUGAGCUAAAUAAAUGAUAUUUUAGUAGUGCUUUUGUAUCCCGGCUUUAUACCCCUACGAAGUACCAGUGCACUUGUUGUUUAUGUUAUGCAUUGCAUAUACAUCAUACAUUAUCGUUUCAUCAUCCUGUCUAUGACAUACCUAAAGAUGUUCGUGCGCUUAGGGGCGUCAGUAAAAAUUAUCUAGCGACGCGUUCGUAUAGUAGGUAGGGACCGUCCCUACCUAUUAAAAUUUUCAAUCGCCUGUAGACGACGCCCUCUUCUAACUUUACAAGAUAUAAAUAAAUUUUGCCGACGUGAGGCAAAGUAAAGCCAAGGCUUUCCGUGUGCUUGGCGGAAGCGAAUGUAUACCUACGGCAGCCUACGGUAGCUACGUAGCUACCUAUAGGCUCUUCAGCUUCACGCGCGAGUUGAUUGCCGAAUAUUGUCCUCGGUAACAUGGCCUGUCGCAUGCUCGUGCGUAAAUUGCGCGAGUUCACUCAUCAGCACUCCGACACCACAUACAGCAACGUGUGGGCUUCUGCCCGUGCCACCUGCAGGUCAGCCCACUAGUUCCCGUUGCCGGUUGAAACCUUGCUCACCUAACCUAUCAGGAAGCUAUGCUGUACAACUUGUACGUCUGUGAAAUUGAGGGAUGUCUAUAGGCAAUCUAUCCGGUGCAUGCCAUCUCUUCCCCAUCAUUCAGAUCAAAUCAAUAAGUGUUAUUGCUUAUUGGACCUGCGGUGGUUAGAGUUCCACCUAUCUGGACUACCUUCCAAAUGUCUUGUAUGAUGAUGACGCGCAUCCGGAUCCUGCAACAUAUGCCCAUGCUAUGUGCCGCCGUGGCACAAUGCUCGUCGGGACUCGUACAGUUCUUUAUUUUAAGUAAUAUAUUCCUUAAAAGGAAUAAACAGGCCAUUUUGGCCUUUGGAAAAAGGAAUGAAUUGAGGCCGAUCCGUACAUUUUCAUUCCUCCAGCCAAAAACGUCCAUUGCCGCCAGAUUGCUCCGUAGUGUGCAGAACUUAGUAUUUUCAAUCAUAGAAUAGGUAUGAGGGGCCGUAAGAAGGUCAAGCCCGUGAGUCAACGCGGCAUAGCAGAAUGUGUGACCGGUCCUCACAUAGCCAAACACGCAAAAGGCAACGACUCAAACGUCGAACAAACACCAAAACAGCAAGAUAUGCCUGAAAUUUUUCCUGAUAAAGGCGUUUGGGACGGCGGUGCUGUUGUCGGUAAUGCAUCGGCAAUGGUGUUGCUGCCAGCGGCGACGAGGAAGUGGCUGGACAGCAGCAGCAGGGGCCGGUACAUGAUGAACCGGUAGAGUCCUAGUGUGCUGUGGUUUGCAGUGGCGGGUGACGGCCUGUGAUUUGCUACGCGGUUGCUUGCUUUGGGCCUUUGCUUGGUCGAUUUUACUAAUUGCUCGCACAACAGUGCCAGAACUAUCUAUGCAUGUGCAUGAAGAGUGCGCACAUGAACGAAAACGCGCCAACUCAGUGCGUGCCUCUUGGUCUACUAGGGGAGUUGUAACUUAUUGGGGGGGUUCUGGAGGGGCGUAGCCCCCCCCAGCGCCCCACACUUAAGAUAUAUUACGACGACCCUAGCAACUUUGUUACUUGGGUUGGAAUAAAUUGAGACCCGCCCUAAAUGAAAAAAAAUCACUGGACUCGUAACAGUGCUACUCUCUGCUACUUGCGGCUACAGUUGUUUGAUACUACCUGGCUGGUGCCGUACAACGUGUGCCGAGGACCUUUCGAAGGUCGGCUACAUUUUUAGAGAUGCCUAGGGCCGGGCUAUGCUAUACAAACAGCCCUUCACGCACAGAAAUGUACCCGCAGUGUACCGUACUGCUACGAAUGUUUCGCGCCACACCUUUCGUUUUGGGCCACGAAGUGUGUCACAGUGGAAAAAGCUCUAUGGGGAACAUUAUUCACUUGUCGCGAAAAUGUGUGGCACGAAUGUGUUGUACGCCGUGUACAUGGUGUAGAACAGCCAGAACUGAGUUUUUACACGCCAGAACUGAAUUUUUCAUAUAGUUAUAGCUUCCUUUUAUUGUAACUGUUGUUUGCCGGACAUCCUGGCACGCUACGUGACAAUGCGUUGACCAUGAAGCCCUGUUGUGGCUUCCCUGGAGCCCCGCGAAAUGUGUGUUCAUGUAAACAAAUGUGUGCCAUAAAAACUGACAGCCCUCGCGAAUUGGUGUAACAAAACGAAAAAUUCCAGCUAUAUUUUUGGGGUACCCGCGAAAGGUGUGGCGCGAAACAUUCGUAGCAGUACGGUAGUCGCCCGCUGCAACAUAAUACUGCAGUGAACCACACGACACUGUGGAGAGGGUAAAACUAUCCAUUUAAAAAGUUCAAAUGAACUACAAAGAGCACAUCGAUAAACCUCGCAGGCAGAGUUCCCAAAUAUACGGUGGGCAAAAUGUUUCAACAAUUCUCGUGAGUACAAAGAAUAUUCGGUUCGAACAACCAGGGACGCCUUAUUUCCGACCAUUAAUGGACAAGCCCAUGGAUAAGGGACCAUAGGACCAUGCACCGUCGGUCGUCAAGGAUAUCGGUUCCUUACUUUACAUGUUUGUCGUAGGUAGCUAAGGAUCGGUAUUGCAUCCAAACAUGCUUACCUCAGAAUGGCUACAGUCAUGCAUGCCCCAGCCGUUGAAACGACACUGAUACAGCCGGCUCGGCGGUGGAGAGCCAUAACAAAAAACGUUAUCCUGAGGAGAGCACCGGUGGAUAGCAUGGUAAGUGUAUGUAUGUGGCGCGAACUCGUGGAGUGCGUGCCCUCAAAACUCACGCAAUCCUUGUGGCCUGGGUUGUCCUACCCAGCAGGUACCCCGGUAACCCGAGGUAUACAUAUUCCCACACGUAGACCUGCUGGUGGUGCGGCUAGCCUAUAGACCACGAGAGUGUUAAGAACCCACCUAACAUGUGCAUGGGGGGGGGCCAUGGUGAAGGCAUGAUCAACGUAUAUGGAGCUGGGUUAAGGUGCCGGGGACCUACAUAUCUGUACUAGCAUCUUUACUCAUCUAAACAAGCACGUUGCCAAGUCAGGAUACAUACAGGAAUUAAUUUCGUCGCAUUAUCCUGCUGGCCGGCUGAAAGCAAUUAAUGCGCAUGAUGCUCACCAUGAGGAUGGGACCGGUGCCACCACCCCAUGUUUGUACGGCAAUGCCUGUAUCGUAGCCUAGCUCCCGGCAAACCACCGUAGCCUCCGUGUCACCGAAACCAUCAUCGCUGCAAUAGCAACAACAAGCCAAAUAUAUGCGUGCAUGCCAGAUCGAUAUCGGCGCCGAACAUGUGCAAAGACGAAGUGUUUGCGCAAACCGUCCAGCAGGCAGCUCUAAAACGGCCAAUUGCCCCCGCCCAGGAAGACGAACUAAUGCAUGCAAAGUUAGGCAGGUUACCGAUAUCUCGUGGAUGAUUUGUCUCCGUUUUUUCGUUUGACUAGUCCAUGGUUUGUUGUGGAAGGCAAUGUCGUGCAUGGCACGGAAGCCGGUUCCAAGCAGCACUGCACGAUAAGAGUGUUGCCAGCGGACUACGCAAACAUAGCACGUAGUUGUCGUACAAUACGUCACACGCCAUCGGUUAAGGGUACUCCAGAACCAUUUGUUAUGAGGGGGCUAAUGAAAGGGUUGGGAGUCACUACUGGUCACCAGAACACACACACACACACACACACACGCCAUCACGUUUAUACAAACAUGUUAUCCACAUUCCAAGAUCAUAUCAAAGCGCGUCUUGAGAGGCCUUUUCGGCGCCAGCAGCUACUUCACAUGCACUUCCAAACUGCCUGGCAUGGCGGAUGACGGAGCAAAUCGUGUCCACUGCAACGAACUAGCCAACUGUCGCUUGAGUGCUUGUAUGUUGGAUGCAUGCACGUAUGGCCCACAUUGGAACUACGGACACUUCAUUAACAGCUUCCUCUAUCGCCAGUCGCUUGGAGCACAUCCCAUGAGCCUCUGGGACAGCCCACUUAACAAGUCGUACACGUGCAACACAUCCCAUAUGUGGCGAAAGUAGGAAGGUCGAAACAAACCGGGCCCCUUGUCCGUCUUACUUACCAGACACUGCCCCAACUAGAUCCAUAGAAGAUUUCAACACGGCCCUCGCUGGGACUGCUUCCGCCCACGAGUCUGAGACUGUAGAGAGAUGUCGGCGGCUCAGGAGGCGUUGGCGGCAGCAGGGGUGGUGAUUCUGGAGGUGGAGACAGAUCUUCUUCUGCACAACCACAUAUUGAUCAGUCCGUGCAUGCUAUCUUCACCAAAUGCUCUAGUAUGUUAUGGAAAGCUUGCUUCAUCGCAACAAGGGGAACGCUCAUUACUACCUCUUGGAUUGUAAAUUAGGAGAAGACAUAUGUACACACAUAUAUACAUGCAUUGAUACAUAAACGUAUCGAAGUACAUGCACAUCAUAGUACGUCCAUACAUGGAUCCACAUUCAUGUAUGACAUUUGUCACCAUAUCAGUGUUCAAAUAACAGCUGCUAUGCGUACAUCGUAUUGCAGGAACAGCGGUCAGAAGCCAGCAGCAGCCCUCCUAAGGAUGAUGAACCCCACACGCACGCAACCCACAUACCAUAGCAUCGAACACCAACGUCCUGCAUGCAUGGCAGGGUUCAUAAUGGAGCAAGUAUGUCGGCAGUCACCGGCGUGUACUGCAUAUUCCUGCUGAUGACGUGCUACAGUGAUGCGGACAGUGUGCGACUUCAUUAAGCCCACAUUAAAUUAAAUGUUGAAAAGUUAGUGUUCGGACAAGUGGAAACACCCUGUAACUCCUAAAUCGAUCUAAUUACAGGGGCCAGGGCUGAUAGCUGAGUUGGAAGAGGUGUUGAGGUGUCUGUCGUACACGCACGUAUGUUAGGGUACGGCACACGUUUUUCUACAUAUAUCAUGUUUUAAGGCAGCUAAAUGGAUUUGUGACGUCUUUUCGUUCAGAAUAGGAUUACAGAUAGCGUGUAGCACUUAUUGCCUGAAGUCUUAGGUUCGACCCCCUGAGAAAUGUGCACUUGUCAGUCUAAGUACAGGUGAGGAAGCAGAAAUCGGUGAUGUGGCUGGAGGACGAUCGUGUUUUUCAUCACGACCACCUCUUAAAAAUCCCAUAUUUUUAAGGCUUAAGAAUGUAAGCAACAGACAAAAUUCCCUGAGCAUAAGACUUAAGAAUGAGAGCCAUACUUAGCAAACCAGUGGUAGGAAUGGUUGAAAACCGCCAAAGAGCAGCUAAGUAUGCUUUGGUCGAAAAAUCAAUCAGUUACCCUAAGAACGUAUAAGAACACCCCAAAGAAUCAAAGAGAAUACAUAAGACUGCUGGGACCUAAAGAAUGCUAAAGAAUUUGAAAGUGUGGUUUUAAGAUAAACGGAGGUCAUACCAACGUUCUUAGGACGGUCAAAUAACGGUCAAAUAACGUUUUAAUGGUUAUCAAAUUUUAUCAAUUUGGCUUGGCUAAGAACGACUUAGGGUUAGAUGAGAAGACUUUCCUUCCUCAAGGCUAACCAAACCCAAGUCAUAAUAAUCCCCAGACCUUCACCCUGUAGAUCUCUAGAGCCAAAAUGAUUUCCAGCUAAGGUUCGUUGUUGUUUGAUGUUGCAUACAAUGUAUGCAACUCAUGGCACCAUGGCAAGCUCACCUCGGAGUGGUCGCAGUUGGCCCAGCCGUUAAAACCACACUGAAACAGCCGGCUCGGCAGUGGAGAGUCAUCACAAUCAACGUCAUCCUGAGAAGAGCACCGGUGGAUAGCAUGGUAAGUGUACGUAAGUAGCACGAACUCGUGGAGUGCGUGCCCUCAAAACUCACGCAAUCCUUGUGGCCUGGGUUGUCCUACCCAGCAGGUACCCCGGUGACCCGAGGUAUGCAUAUUCCCACACGUAGACCUGCUGGUGGUGCGGCUAGCCUAUAGCAACGAGGGUGUUAAGAACCCACCUAACAUGUGCAUGGGGGGCCCAUGGUGAAGGCAUGAUCAACGUAUAUAUGGAGCUAGGUUAAGGUGCCGGGGACCUACAUAUCUGUACUAGCAUCUUCACUCACCUAAACAAGCACGUUGCCAAGUCAGGAUACAUACAGGAAUUAAUUUCGUCGCGUUAUUCUGCUGGGCGGAUGAAACUAAGCAAUCAAUGCACACAAUGCUCACCAUGAGGAUGGGACCGGUGCCACCACCCCAUUGCUGUACAGCAACGCCUCUAACGUACCCUAGCUCCCGGCAAACCACCGUAGCCUCCGUGUCACCGAAACCGUCAUCGCUGCAAUAGCAACAACAAGCCAAAUAUGUGCAAAGACGGGGUACCGUGAUGCUAUGGAUAUAAGCACUUCCCUAUGUACCUCAACGCUAGCGGCCAUAGGCGUGACUCGCGUGCAAGUGGACUUAAGCGCGGCAUACGGCCUACUUUGGCUACAGGCUUAUUAUACUGCUGCACGCAGGCAGUUGUAAAAACGACCAAUUGCCCCUGCCCAGGUACACGAACUAGUUCAAGCAAAGUUAGAUAAGUUACGGAUAUCUCCUGAAUAAUAUUGUCUCCAUGUUUUCGUUUGACCUACUGUCCAUGAACUAUUUUUUGUCUCCAUACUGUUCAUCUAAUCCUUGAAGUGCGUAACCUAAAGUUCUGAAUGAUAAGGAGCGGGUUGCAAGCAGCAUUAAUAUUAAUGGCAGUAUGGAAGCUAUGCCAGCGGCGGAUCCAGCGUACAUCUCACACCGCCGCACACACUCAGUCUGCCUGGACGUGGAGGCUGUAGGAGCAUAAAGAAUCCCCUGCAACUAACUAGCUAUUCAACUGUCUUUGGUGCGCUUGUACGUUGGAUGUAUACUGGACAGCCCUAGACUGCAGCUGGCCCUUGCAAGGGCCAGCUGGGCCCGUUGGCCCAACUGCCAAUUGGGCCUCUGGCUCAUAUGGGCCUGUUUCCCCUCCAGAGAGUAACUCCACCAAGGUGGUAUCACACACAAUGCAUACUCUUUUGGCCCACAUUGGAACUACGGACACUUCAUUAACAGCUUCCUCUAUCGCCAGUCGCUUGGAGCACAUCCCAUGAGCCUCUGGGACAGCCCACUUAACAAGUCGUACACGUGCAACACAUCCCAUAUGUGGCGAAAGUAGGAAGGUCGAAACAAACCCUGCCCCUUGUCCGUCUUACUUACCAAACAGUGCCCCACAGCGU